GCCUGGGUGGCUCAGUCGGUUAAGCGUCCGACUUCAGCUCAGGUCAUGAUCUCACUGUUUGUGGGUUCAAGCCCUGCAUCAGGCU
rnacentral:tRNA from 1 species